rnacentral:rRNA from 1 species
CAGCCGCCGCGGUAAUACGGAGGGUGCAAGCGUUAAUCGGAAUUACUGGGCGUAAAGCGUGCGCAGGCGGUUAUAUAAGACAGAUGUGAAAUCCCCGGGCUCAACCUGGGAACUGCAUUUGUGACUGUAUAGCUAGAGUACGGCAGAGGGGGAUGGAAUUCCGCGUGUAGCAGUGAAAUGCGUAGAUAUGCGGAGGAACACCGAUGGCGAAGGCAAUCCCCUGGGCCUGUACUGACGCUCAUGCACGAAAGCGUGGGGAGCAAACAGGAUUAGAUACCCCUGUAGUCCCUGUCUCUUAUAC